rnacentral:rRNA from 1 species
GUGGGGAAUCUUGGUCAAUGGGCGCAAGCCUGAACCAGCGACGCCGCGUGAGUGAUGAAGGCCUUCGGGUUGUAAAGCUCUGUGGGGCGAGACGAAAGCGUCGGUUCUAACAGGACCGGCUUUGACGGUAUCGCCUUAGCAAGCACCGGCUAACUCUGUGCCAGCAGCCGCGGUAAGACAGAGGGUGCAAACGUUGCUCGGAAUCACUGGGCGUAAAGGGCGUGUAGGCGGGAAGAUAAGUCAGGUGUGAAAUCCCCAGGCUCAACCUGGGAACUGCACUUGAAACUGUCUUUCUUGAGUGUCGGAGAGGAAAGUGGAAUUCCUGGUGUAGAGGUGAAAUUCGUAGAUAUCAGGAGGAACACCGGUGGCGAAGGCGGCUUUCUGGACGACAACUGACGCUGAGACGCGAAAGCGUGGGGAGCAAACAGGAUUAGAAACCCGAGUAGUCC